GUGCUUGCUUUGGCAGCACAUAUACUAAAAUUGGAACAAUACAAGAAGAUCAGCGGAACCCCUGUGCAAAAUAUAGCUGGAUAAUUCAUUUAU
ensembl:snRNA U6 U6 spliceosomal RNA